rnacentral:rRNA from 1 species
GCGGCGCACAUAAGACAUGCAAGUCGAACGGAAGUCGUUAUAAUUGAAAUGGAUUGAAGAUUAUCAGAUUGAAGUUGAAGUUAUAACAAUGGCUUUAGUGGCGGACUGGUGAGUAACGCGUGAGCAACCUGCCUGUUAGAGGGGAAUAACAGUGAGAAAUCAUUGCUAAUACCGCAUAUGCCAUAGUAGUCACAUGACUAUAGUGGGAAAGGAGCAAUCCGCUAACAGAUGGGCUCGCGUCUGAUUAGAUAGUUGGUGGGGUAACGGCCUACCAAGUCGACGAUCAGUAGCCGGACUGAGAGGUUGAACGGCCACAUUGGGACUGAGAUACGGCCCAGACUCCUACGGGAGGCAGCAGUCGGGAAUAUUGCGCAAUGGAGGAAACUCCUGACGCAGUGACGCCGCGUAUAGGAUGAAGGUCUUCGGAUUGUAAACUAUUGUCGUUAGGGAAGAGAAAGGACAGUACCUAAGGAGGAAGCUCCGGCUAACUACGUGCCAGCCGCCGC